GUUCGCGCUGGCGGCGGAGGGGGAGGCCGGGGUGAGGAACGUGCUGCGGAUGAUGCGGGAGGAGUUCGAGCUCACCAUGGCGCUCAGCGGAUGCACCUCGCUCGCCGACAUCACCCGCGCCCACAUCUACACCGACGCCGACCGCCUCGCCCGCCCCUUCCCCAGGUUGUGAGGACCUCGCCGCCGCCGCCGCCGGCGAACUCUAGCCAAACAAUAAACAAUAUCGACGACGCCAGAGAGCACGCCGAUUAAUUAAUUAGGUAAUUUUUGCAAAAGAAUCUCGUCGAUCCACACGCGCGCAAGCAACACACGUACUCCGUGCACCCCUCGUAACUGGGUCGUUCAUGCUCUUAAUCCCAACGAUUAAUUAUACUGGUAUAAUCUUUGUAAUUUCGAG
rnacentral:misc_RNA from 1 species